CCAGCCACUCACAGCAGUCUCCUGCCACAGAUGUAGAUAAAUAUGAUUACCUGCCCCCAACCUCCCUGCUCUCCUGUUAGUGUCAGCGGUGGGAUCAGACCAGAGUCCCAGCCACUAAACCAGGCCCAGCGCCCAGGGCUCUAGGUGUAAAAUACCAGGUCACGCAGCCGAUCCUGCGUCUGGACACCAUUGCC
rnacentral:lncRNA from 1 species